GCUCCUGCAUGCUGGACUCCUGAGCCAGGAGGCUCUUUCACUCCGUGGCCCUUCUGCUCAUUCUUCAAGUCCCUGAGUGACCAGUGGUCCUCCUUUCUGAAGGCUCUUGCUACAAAGGAAAGAUGAGGAUAUUCUAUUUCUUGAUCCCUCUCAGCUACUGGGAGCUGCUUUGUGCCUUGGAAGCCUCAAGCUGAAAUGGAUGUCAGCCUCAAGUUUAACUCCAAGAGGGUUCACCUUGUUUCUUUGAACAAAAUGUGCUGCCUGUUGCUUCCCUUUGCCAGGAGUGGUGUUCCCUUUUCCACAGGUCUGGACCACAGUGUCUCUAGCUCCCGCUCCUGGAUACUUGGUUACUGUGUGUUUCGGUAAAAAAGCAUCCACAACAUGAAUAUCCACUAAGCUGUAACAGGGCCUGCUGCAACUAUAGUAUUUCCUGAAAAAGUAUCAACUGCCACAAGGGCCACAAAUAAAGUCUGUGAACUUGAAAUAACCAUGGAGAAUGAAAUGUUCUGAUUCAGAUCAUCGGUGGGAUUUCACUGGGAAAUCUCCCACUGGGCAAGAGUAGAUGAUGGAGGAGGAGAAACAGUCACUAGAAAAAGGUGAUACUUUGUAUCAAGAAACAAUUAAAAAUUAGAUCACAUCCUGAAACAUUAAGCAUAUGCUCCUUUGUGAGGCUUGCCUGGCUGAACUUGAACUGGAUUGAGUGAAUAAUUUCUUAAAAACAAUCAAAAUCACAGAUUUAUUCUAUUUUAAAUACUUAUAUUUACUUAUAUUUCAUUCAGAAAUUAGUUAACAAAUAAUUUUUGAGUAUCCUGGGAACUGUUCUAAUCAUUAAACAUGCAAGUUUGAAGAAAGUAAGGAUGAAUCUGCCUGCGUGGGGCUCUCAAUCUAGCGAGAAGCAGAUAAGAAGACAAAUGUCAGGGAAGAUCACACAACCUUCAGGUAAUAUUUAAGCUGAGACCUCACUAGUUGCUAAGACUGGAUUUCAGAGGUCAGGUUUGGAUAUACAAAAUUUAGGAGCUGGUACAUGACAUUUAAAACCAUGGGAAUGAAUGAGAUUUCCUAGAUAGAAAGAAGAAAAGAAUAUUGACAUUUAAUGUUGAACGGAGUAGGAGGAGCUGAACAGGGAGACCAGGAAGGAGCAGACAGUGAACCUGGAGCAUGAAUAGGAGAGUGGGUGUCAUGGAAGCCAAGAGAAACAAGAAUUCAAGAAAGAAAGUUUCUUACUGUAGCAAAUGGCGCUGAGAGGGAAAAAUUCAUGUUGAACCAUAAUCCACAAUGCAACAGUAUCAAGAGGUGUGGCCUUUAGGAGCUGAUUAGGCCACGAAGGCUCUGCCUCAUG
rnacentral:lncRNA from 10 species